rfam:Pan troglodytes isolate Yerkes chimp pedigree #C0471 (Clint) chromosome 2A, whole genome shotgun sequence.
GCCGGGCAUGGUGACGUGUGCCUGUAAUCCCAGCCACUUGGGAGGCUGAGGCAGGAGAAUUGCUGAACCCAGGGAGGCAGAGGUUGUAGUGAGCCGAAACCGUGCCACUGCACUCCAGCCUGGGUGACACAGCGAGAUUCUGUCUCCA